GAUUCGGGGCGCAGCAGGCGCGAAAACUUUACAAUGCUGGCAACAGCGAUAAGGGGACCUCGAGUGCCAGGAUACAAUCUUGGCUGUCGUAAUGCCUAAAAAGCAUUUCAUAGCAAGGGCCGGGCAAGACCGGUGCCAGCCGCCGCGGUAACACCGGCGGCUCGAGUGGUAACCGCUAUUAUUGGGUCUAAAGGGUCUGUAGCCGGCCGGAUAAGUCUCUUGGGAAAUCCAGCAGCUCAACUGUUGGGCUUUCAGGAGAUACUGUUCGGCUCGAGGCCGGGAGAGGUGAGAGGUACUUCAGGGGUAGGGGUGAAAUCUUGUAAUCCUUGAAGGACCACCAGUGGCGAAGGCGUCUCACCAGAACGGACCUGACGGCAAGGGACGAAAGCUAGGGGCACGAACCGGAUUAGAUACCCGGGUAGUCCUAGCCGUAAACGAUACUCGCUAGGUGUCAGCCACGGUGCGACCGUGGUCGGUGCCGUAGGGAAGCCGUGAAGCGAGCCACCUGGGAAGUACGGCCGCAAGGCUGAAACUUAAAGGAAUUGGCGGGGGAGCACAAUCACUAGUGAAU
rnacentral:rRNA from 1 species